rnacentral:rRNA from 1 species
AGGGAGUUUGAUCCUGGCUCAGGAUGAACGCUAGCUACAGGCUUAACACAUGCAAGUCGAGGGGCAGCGAGAAGGAAGCUUGCUUUCUUUGUCGGCGACCGGCGCACGGGUGAGUAACGCGUAUCCAACCUUCCCCUUAGUAGGGCAUAGCCCGGCGAAAGUCGGAUUAACACCCUAUGUUAUCCGAAGAGGACAUCUGAAUUGGAUUAAAGGUUUACCGCUAAGGGAUGGGGAUGCGUCUGAUUAGGUAGUAGGCGGGGUAACGGCCCACCUAGCCGACGAUCAGUAGGGGUUCUGAGAGGAAGGUCCCCCACAUUGGAACUGAGACACGGUCCAAACUCCUACGGGAGGCAGCAGUGAGGAAUAUUGGUCAAUGGGCGAGAGCCUGAACCAGCCAAGUAGCGUGCAGGAUGACGGCCCUAUGGGUUGUAAACUGCUUUUAUACGGGGAUAAAGUGAGGGACGUGUCCCUUUUUGUAGGUACCGUAUGAAUAAGGACCGGCUAAUUCCGUGCCAGCAGCCGCGGUAAUACGGAAGGUCCGGGCGUUAUCCGGAUUUAUUGGGUUUAAAGGGAGCGCAGGCCGAAGGUUAAGCGUGACGUGAAAUGUAGCCGCUCAACGGCUGAACUGCGUCGCGAACUGGCUUUCUUGAGUGAGUUCGAUGUAGGCGGAAUUCGUGGUGUAGCGGUGAAAUGCUUAGAUAUCACGAAGAACUCCGAUUGCGAAGGCAGCCUACAAGGCCUUUACUGACGCUAAAGCUCGAAGGUGCGGGUAUCGAACAGGAUUAGAUACCCUGGUAGUCCCCU